UCUAAUACCGGAUACGACUACUGACCGCAUGGUUGGUGGUGGAAAGCUCCGGCGGUGCAGGAUGAGCCCGCGGCCUAUCAGCUUGUUGGUGGGGUGAUGGCCUACCAAGGCGACGACGGG
rnacentral:rRNA from 3 species